GACGAACGCUGGCGGCGUUCUUAACACAUGCAAGUCGAACGGAAAGGCCUUUCUUUUGUUGGGUGCUCUAGUUGCCACCGUGUGAGUCACCCUUGUGUAACCUUCCCUUGCUUUUGGGAUAACUUCAGGCAACUCGCGCUUAUACCGGAUAAGAUCUCCUGCUGCAUGGUGGGGGUUGGAAAGUUUCGGCGGUUGGGGAUGGACUCGCGGCUUAUCCGCUUGUUGGUGGGGUAGUGGCUUACCAAGGCUUUGACGGGUAGCCGGCCUGAGAGGGUGACCGGCUACAAUGGGACGGAGAUACGGCACAGCCUCAUACGGGAGGCAGCAGUGGGGAAUAUUACACUGUGGGCGGAAGCCUGAUGCAGCAACGCUGCGUGCGGGAAGACGGCCUGCGGGUUGUGAACCGCAGUCCACUGAGACGAAGCGUGAAUGACGGUAAUGGGUGAAGAAGCACCGGCUAACUACGUG
rnacentral:rRNA from 1 species